CAGCCGCCGCGGUAAUACGAAGGGUGCAAGCGUUAAUCGGAAUUACUGGGCGUAAAGCGUGCGUAGGUGGUGGUUUAAGUCCGUUGUGAAAUCCCCGGGCUCAACCUGGGAAUGGCAGUGGAUACUGGCUCGCUAGAGUGUGUCAGAGGAUGGUGGAAUUCCCGGUGUAGCGGUGAAAUGCGUAGAGAUCGGGAGGAACAUCAGUGGCGAAGGCGGCCAUCUGGGACAACACUGACGCUGAGGCACGAAAGCGUGGGGAGCAAACAGGAUUAGAUACCCCCGUAGUCCCUGUCUCUUAUAC
rnacentral:rRNA from 1 species